AUCCCUCCCCCAGUUGGCGCGGCGGGUUGGACGGUCCGGGGGCGUCGUCGUCGUCGUCGUCGUCGUCGCUAUCGAGGACCACGACGCCGUGCUCGUCCUCGCGCCCUGCUGGGCCGACACUGACACUGAGAGACGAAAGCUAGGGGAGCAAAUGGGAUUAGAGACCCCAGUAGUCCUAGCCGUAAACGAUGGAUACUAGGUGCUGUGCGACUCGACCCGUGCAGUGCUGUAGCUAACGCGUUAAGUAUCCCGCCUGGGGAGUACGUUCGCAAGAAUGAAACUCAAAGGAAUUGACGGGGGCCNGCGUUAAGUAUCCCGCCUGGGGAGUACGUUCGCAAGAAUGAAACUCAAAGGAAUUGACGGGGGCCCGCACAAGCGGUGGAGCAUGUGGUUUAAUUCGAUGCAAAGCGAAGAACCUUACCAGGGCUUGGUACUCGGACCUCGGCUCGAGGCAUUUUCUCGCUUGCGGGCGGCGAUCUCCUCCAGGGCCCGGCGCUGCCGGACCAUCUCGUCGCGGAGGUAGUCGUCCCGCGCCCACCGCAUGGCGUCCUCGUCGGAGAAGCGCCGGGCUAUCUCCUUGU
rnacentral:ncRNA from 1 species